UUUCUCGCGCCUGCGCAAGAUCCUCCAGCCCGACAGGGGGCAAUGAGCCGAUCCUUGCGCGGGUUUGCCCCGCCGGAGUAAUCCGGAAGAGGCCUCUUAUUAGGGCUCUGGUGGCGGCGGCGGCGGACACUUGGGGUCUGGACGCAACGGCGGCGGGACCAUGAACGCUCCUCCAGCCUUCGAGUUGUUCUUGCUCUUCGAGGGCGAGAAGAAGAUCACCAUUAACAAGGACACCAAGGUGUCCAAUGCCUGUUUAUUCACCAUCAACAAAGAAGACCACACACUGGGAAACAUCAUUAAGACACAACUCCUAAAGGACCCGCAAGUGCUAUUUGCUGGCUACAAAGUCCCCCACCCCUUGGAGCACAAGAUCAUCAUCCGAGUGCAGACCACGCCGGACUACAGCCCCCAGGAAGCCUUUACCAACGCCAUCACCGACCUCAUCAGUGAGCUGUCCCUGCUGGAGGAGCGCUUCCGGACGUGCCUGUUUCCCCUUCGCCUUCUGCCGUGAUUGUCAGUUUCCUGAGGCCUCCCCAGCCACGCUUCCUGUACAGCCUGCAGAACUUCUGGCAUGGAAAAGCCCCUGUGCAACUGGUAGUAAAGAUAUCAAUAAGCACCAGGAGGUAUCUAAAUCCACCAGGAGCCAUAGGCAUCACGUCGACGUCCAUUUACCAGUCUUCCCUGGCAAGAUUCUUCUGAAUUGUGCUGCCUUGACCAAAAGAGGACUCCUAGAAGGACCCCACCCCCCUCCCCCCACCCCUGCUCCUAGGAGGACAACGUGAUGACUGUAUUCAGCUCCAUCAAGAAUGGUCCAGGUUCUUCUAGAUGAUCUGCACAAAUGGUUCCUCUCCUCCUUCCUGGUGUCUGCCAUUAGCAUUGGAAUAAAGUUCCUGCUGAAAAUCCACAUCUCCCCUGGGUCCGGUGUUCUGGAAGUGAGAGAGACAAUGUCACACUUCAAGGAGGCAGCUCUCUAGACAGGAAGGUUAUUCACGUCCCAUGUCAAGUCUAGAGUUCAGAGCAAUUGAGAAAUGCAAUUUUAUCUGCUGCCUUUCAUUCUAUACCCUGCUUCUGAACCAUCGUGUUCAACUGUGAAACUCACACUUUGGUGACCACGACUCCAAAACUCACUUAAUACACCCAAGGUCAGCCCCAGUGAUCUGCUUCAUAGCAAGGACUUUGGGUGGGUCUGCCCAGGGAGUAGGGCACCCUCAGAGAAUGUGGCUUUGGACUUCAUCACAGCUGGGGCCUUUUGUGUCACUUAAGAUCUAAACUUGUAACCAUGCUAGAUGUGUUUCUAAUGUGACAACAUCACGAACCACGAGUCCAGAAGCCUAAUCCUUAAUCCUACUUCCUCAUGAUGAAGUCUCAUGCUCUGUGCUCAACGUGGUUAGCUGCACAAGAUGUAAACCAAAGCUUCACUGAACCCUCGACCCAAAUCGGUAACUCAAGUGCGUCAAUCAUAAUGAACCUCCCCAAACUCAGUAUUUAUGAUUAUUUUUGAGGCAGGGUCUCACUCUGUCGCCCAGAAUGGAGUGCAGUGGCAGGAUCAGGGCUCCGUGCAGCCCCGACCUUCCAGGCUCCAGCGAUCCUCUCACCUCAGCCUCCUGAGUAGUUGGGAGUAGAGAUGCGUCCCACAUCACCUGGCUAAUUUUUGUAUUUUUGUGGAGAGGGGAUCUCGCCACGUUGCCCAGGCUUGAAGCCGGAUCAAGCAAUUGGGUUCUUCGGAUUUCCGAAAUAGACCCCAAUAUUCUGCCUUUACCCCGGAGGAUGCAGAUGUACCUUCUCUCAGGCCGAUGACCUCAGGCCUCCACGGUCCCUGGAGCUCUAGGAAAGGCGAGCGCGAUCUCGCGCCCACACCCAGUGCUCUGGGUCAUAAGCCUGGAUCUGGAAAAACAAACGCCCUUUGAGAAGACGGGGACUCGCCAGGAUACCCCUCUCUCCCCUCAUCCAGCCUCCAGCCCACCCAAUUCCUCCCCACCUCCUCCACCUCCCCAGGCCCCACUCACCUCCUCCAACUCCUCCGGGGAAACCAAGCCCUGCCGCUCAUGGAACAGAAGAAGUGGAACCGACGUUUCUGGAACAGGACUAUCUGAGAGCGGUUCUUCCUGGCCCUCGGGUUCAUGCAACGGCGUAACUGGAACUGACGCUUACGGAGCAAGGGUAUGCGAGAGCGGUUCUUCCUGGCCCUCGGGUUCAUGGAACGGCCUAACUGAAACCGACGCUUACGAAGCAAGGGUAUGCGAGAGCGGUUCUUCCCAUACAGGAAGUGGAAGAUGUUUUGUUUGGAGUCCUCGUCAUCCUCCUCCAUGUCAUUGGCCAGGUAGCUGAGGACAGAAAUCAGGUUGCUGCUCAGGGGCACCACCAGGAGAGGCCUCCGGCUGAGGUCAGCUUCCCAGAGAGGAAGGUAAGGGACCGUCCCUAGCUCAGGACUGGCACCCACCCUGCAGAGAGCCAUGCCUUCCUCAGGAGGGCUCUGCUGGACAGAGACCUGAUCAAGGGCGUCUCCCACUCCUUCAGGAUGGAGACAAAAACCCAACUGGUGGCCGAGAGUGGUGGCUUACGCCUGGAAUCCCAGCACAUUGGGAGGCCAAAGCAGGAGGAUCACUUGAGGCCAGGAGUUUGAGACGGGCCUGGGCAACAUAGCAAGACCCUCGUCUCUAUUAAAAAUAUAAGAAAUAUGCCAGACGCGGUGGCUCAUGCCUGUAAUCCCAGCACUUUAGAAGGCUGAAGCAGGUGGAUCGCUUGAGACCAGGAGUUGGAGACCAGCCUGGUCAACACGGAGAAAACCCAUCUCUACUAAAAAUACAAAAAUCAGCCUGGUGCGGUGGCACACCCGUUAGGCCUAGCUACUCAGGAGGCUGAAGCAUAAGAAUUGUGUGAACCCAGGAGGCAGAGGUUGCAGUGAGUUGAGAUUGGGCCACUCCAUUCCAGCCUGAGAGGCAGAGCAAGACUCUGUCUCAAUAAACAAACAAACAAACAAACAAACUGUCCAGGUGUGGUGGCACAGCCCUGUAGUCGGAGCUAAUAAAGAAGCUGAGGUGGGAGGAUCGCUUGAGCCCAGGAUAUGGAGGCUGCGGUGAGCUAUGAUCUCACCACUGCACUCCAGCUUGGGGGACAGGGCAAGUCUGUCUCAAAAAAAUAAAAGAAAUUGAAUACA